GACGAACGCUGGCGGCGUGCUUAAUACAUGCAAGUCGAACGGAAAGGCCCGGCACUUGUGGGGUGCGCGAGUGGCGAACGCGGGAGUGACACGUGAGUAACCUGCCCUUGACAUUGGGAGAACUUCAGGAAACUGGGGUUAUUAUCGGGUAGAAGCACCUUCUGCAUGGUGGGUGUGGGAGAGAGUCGGCGUUUGGGGAUGGACUCGCGGCUUAUCAGCGUGUUGGUGGGGUGGUGGAUUACCCAGGCUUCGACGGGUAGCCGGACUGAGAGGGUGACCGGCCACAUUGGGACUGAGAUACGAGCCAGACUCCUACGGGAGGCAGCGGUGGGAGACUGUCCACGCUGGGCGGAAUGCUGAUGGAGCAACGCCGCGUGCGAGAUGACGGUCUUCGGGUAGUAACGCGCUUUCGCCUGGAAAGAAGCGCGAGUGACGGUAACGGCUAAGGAAGCACCGGCUAACUACGUG
rnacentral:rRNA from 1 species